rnacentral:rRNA from 1 species
AACGAACGCUGGCGGCAGGCUUAACACAUGCAAGUCGAACGCUCCGCAAGGGGAGUGGCAGACGGGUGAGUAACGCGUGGGAACAUACCCUUUUCUACGGAAUAGCUCUGGGAAACUGGAAUUAAUACCGUAUACGCCCUACGGGGGAAAGAUUUAUCGGGGAAGGAUUGGCCCGCGUUGGAUUAGCUAGUUGGUGGGGUAAAGGCCUACCAAGGCGACGAUCCAUAGCUGGUCUGAGAGGAUGAUCAGCCACAUUGGGACUGAGACACGGCCCAAACUCCUACGGGAGGCAGCAGUGGGGAAUAUUGGACAAUGGGCGCAAGCCUGAUCCAGCCAUGCCGCGUGAGUGAUGAAGGCCUUAGGGUUGUAAAGCUCUUUCACCGAUGAAGAUAAUGACGGUAGUCGGAGAAGAAGCCCCGGCUAACUUCGUG